GCCGGUAUUGACUCUGAGGUGCAAAAGCGGGGGGAGCAAACGGAUUAAAUCCCCGGGUGGUCCCCGCCCUAAAAUAAAAAAGCUUAGUGCGGGGGGUUUUAUCUCUGUUGUGUCCCUUAAAACUUUAUUUCCCUCCCGGGGGGAACAGGCCCCAUUAAAAAUCUAAGAGAUAGGGGGGGCCCCUCACAAGCGGGAAGAAGGGUGUUUUUUUUUGCACCGCGAGAAAACUCUUUCCCUCGUUAAAAGGUUGGGUCGCACCCGAAAAAAACCUCCCUCCCAGGGAACUCUACCAGUUGGUGCUGGGGUUGUUAGCCUCUCCGGUGCCAAUGAUGUUUAAUAUCCCCAAACAAACCAAACCCCUCUCCUUAUUUCGUCAUCCAUAUAUGUUAAGCACUUUAAAAAACUGCCCCGUGUAAACCCCCAAAGGAAAGGUGGGG
rnacentral:rRNA from 1 species